rnacentral:rRNA from 1 species
CACUCCUACGGGGGCAGCAGUGGGGAAUAUUGGACAAUGGGCGCAAGCCUGAUCCAGCCAUGCCGCGUGAGUGAUGAAGGCCCUAGGGUUGUAAAGCUCUUUCACCGGUGAAGAUAAUGACGGUAACCGGAGAAGAAGCCCCGGCUAACUUCGUGCCAGCAGCCGCGGUAAUACGAAGGGGGCUAGCGUUGUUCGGAUUUACUGGGCGUAAAGCGCACGUAGGCGGACUAUUAAGUCAGGGGUGAAAUCCCGGGGCUCAACCCCGGAACUGCCUUUGAUACUGGUAGUCUUGAGUUCGAGAGAGGUGAGUGGAAUUCCGAGUGUAGAGGUGAAAUUCGUAGAUAUUCGGAGGAACACCAGUGGCGAAGGCGGCUCACUGGCUCGAUACUGACGCUGAGGUGCGAAAGCGUGGGGAGCAAACAGGAUUAGAUACCCGAGUAGUCCCA